CCCACCCCAUCCACUCCCCCUCCCCCGCGGUGAGCUGCUUACCUCUUGGAGAUUUUGCAUCUUUAUCUUCAAAUGGAAUAAUCCUAUCUCAGAGAAUUGUUGGGAAGUUUUAUCAGUGUCUAACAAGUCCCAGAAAAGGGGCUCAAUAGAUGUUAGCUGAGGCUAGUAUGCUUGUCAUACUUCCUCUCUCAACAGCGGAUCCUGACCUUUGGUGUGGCCAUUGCCACUCUGUAAGGAGCAGAAGAUGACUUCUGGGUUUGCAGGACAAAAGGUGUCUGCAUCUCUAACCUAAUCCCUAUUGUGACGUCAUAGAAGGAAGAAGCAGGAAACACUGUUCCUUCCCCUCAGGCUAUCUGGCCCUGGAUGUUGGCUUUACAAUGAAGGACAGAGAAUCUGGGAAAGGCAGUGGUCAGCUCUGUCCUGCAGGAGUGCCACAUGCAUUCUGUCAGAACAAAGGGCUACCCUGAGCUUUUAUCUUUAACAUCUGAUUUACAACGACAUGACUGUGUCCUUGGCCCUGGAAAGAAAAUUGUCAGCAGUGCCGCACUAAGGAUGCUAAGGCAAAGAGAAGACUCUCAAAUACAAGAGGCAUAGACAACAUCCUCAGAAACAGAUGGAGGGAAACAUGCAAGGCUGGAAUGCCUGCAGAUCUGCUUCCAGAGGGGUCUGCUUCACUGUAUCUGUAUAACCUGCUCUCAAAUGAAUUCCUAUCUCAAAACCAGAAAUGGUCACUUAAAUUGAG
rnacentral:lncRNA from 1 species